rnacentral:rRNA from 1 species
UACGUAGGGUGCGAGCGUUAAUCGGAAUACUGGGCGUAAAGCGUGCGCAGGCGGUGAUGUAAGACCGAUGUGAAAUCCCCGGGCUUAACCUGGGAACUGCAUUGGUGACUGCAUUGCUGGAGUAUGGCAGAGGGGGGUGGAAUUCCACGUGUAGCAGUGAAAUGCGUAGAGAUGUGGAGGAACACCGAUGGCGAAGGCAGCCCCCUGGGCCAAUACUGACGCUCAUGCACGAAAGCGUGGGGAGCAAACAGG